rnacentral:tRNA from 1 species
UCCCUGAUGGCUCAGUGGGUAAAGAAUCUGCCUACAAUGCAGGAAAUGCAGGUUCGAUUCCUGGGUUGGGAA